GACACUUUGGCCGAGUGGUUAAGGCGGUGCCCUGCUAAGGCAUUAUCUUCUGGAUGCGCAGGUUCGAAUCCUGCAGGUGUCG
rnacentral:tRNA from 2 species